CAAAUGGCGCCGGUCAAUUUAAUGGCGAUUUCCGACAUGUCUGGACGCGGUGACAGCCGUCUGAGCCCAGCACAGUCCCUCAUGCUGGCAAUGUAUGGCGGCAACGAGCCAAGCCGAGUCUCGCCUGUGGACGCAGGCAAUGCAGAUAGCUUGGGUACUUCUUGUACGAGACCAUGGAGAAAGGAGAAACUAGGCUUUUAUUAACACUCUAUGCCCAAUAUUGAAGCAAGGUUGGCCCGAUGAAAAAAUUUCGGAGCAAGCGGGUCAUGUAUGAACACAUUUCGAAAGAAAUACUUCAAAUGAUUGGAAUCUGCAGAACCGCUACACAGUGUGAGUCGCGUUUCGAGACCAUAGCGAAAAAAAAACUGAAGACACAAACAACAAGACAUCCGGCAAUAAUCGCUGCCAAGUGUCUUAUGAAGAAGAGUUUGCCCAAAUAAGGGCUGCAGACGAUAGUAUUGAGCCUGAAGUUCUCCGCGGUGUGCAUUCUGUGACCUACUAGAGUGUUACCAAGCCAGUUGAUGAAGCCAGCACAUCUACCAGUGCAACUGCAUCCUCUGAAAGUACCGACCACGAUAGCUCCGAACUUCUUGACUCCGCUUGCGAGACAGCAGAGGAAGCAGGCCAUGAACGAAGAAAAAGAAUGAAAAACAGUGAAACUGGUCAGCCCAGUGGUGGUAGCCGAAUGAUGCAUAUGCAGUAUUUUUUGAAAGAAUGGAGAAGAUCAACAUAGAACGAGAGGCGAAAAGGGACGAAAGAGAAAAAAGAAGAGAGGAACGGCAUCUUGAACUAAUUAAACUUCACAAGGAGCAUAUCGACGCACUAAAAGACCUAGCAACAAAGACAGGCAUAUAAAGCACAGCAUACCCUGUACACAAAUCUGCGUAUGCACAUCAAAUUCUUCAUUAAAACUUAGUUUUGGAAUUAUAUAAACUUUUCUUUGGUUCCUGCUCCCAUCACUUCUCAUAGCUGCUGCAUCAAAGCGUUUCUUUUCAGUUCACCUAGACGGCGCAGCACACUUUCGCGGUCAGUCUGUGGCUGCCUGUUUUGGUCCAGCUCGGCGCGCUCCUUUCUGAUCUGUAGUAGUGCAUCUUGUCUUAUUUCUUCUCUCUUUUCUUCAGUCAAUAAAUCCUCCACACCAGUGUCACCACUGUCCAGGCAUAUGUUGUGGAGCACACAGCAUGCUGAUAUAAACUGUGUGAUCUUGUCCACUUUGGUAAACUCAAUGUAUCGAAGUUGGCGAAACCUCUGCUUCAAUAAAGCAAAAGCAUUUUCUAUCACCA